UAAACGCGUGGGCAACCUGCCCCAUAGAGGGGGACAACAGCUGGAAACGGCUGCUAAUACCGCAUAACAAGGAGAGAGCGCAUGUCCUUUUCUUCAAAGAUUUAUCGCUAUGGGAUGGACCCGCGUCUGAUUAGCUAGUUGGUGAGGUAACGGCUCACCAAGGCGACGAUCAGUAGCCGGCUUGAGAGAGUGAACGGCCACAUUGGGACUGAGACACGGCCCAGACUCCUACGGGAGGCAGCAG
rnacentral:rRNA from 1 species